ACUGCAACCUCCUUUCUCCAGG
rnacentral:miRNA from 1 species